rnacentral:rRNA from 1 species
AUACGUAGGUGACAAGCGUUAUCCGGAUUUACUGGGCGUAAAGGGCGUGUAGGCGGUCUUGCAAGUCAGAAGUGAAAUUCCUGAGCUCAACUCGGGCGCUGCUUCUGAAACUGCAGGACUUGAGUGCUGGAGGGGAUAGCGGAAUUCAUCGUGGAGCGGUAAAAUGCGCAGAUAUUAGGAAGAACACCGGUGGCGAAGGCGGCUAUCUGGACAGUAACGGACGCUGAGGCGCGAAAGCGUGGGGAGCAAACAGGAUUAGAUACACUGGUAGUCCACGCCGUAAACGAUGAAUACUAGGUGUAGGGGGUAUCGACUCCCUCUGUGCCGCAGUUAACACAAUAAGUAUUCCGCCUGGGGAGUACGGCCGCAAGGUUGAAACUCAAAUGAAUUGACGGGG